GAUGAACGCUGGCGGCAUGCCUAACACAUGCAAGUCGAACGAGAAUCUAUGGAUAGAGGAUUCGUCCAAUUGAAAUAGAGGACAGUGGCGAACGGGUGAGUAAUGCAUGAGCAACCUGCCCUUCAGAGGGGGACAACAGUUGGAAACGACUGCUAAUACCGCAUAACAUUUUGGGAAGGCAUCUUCCUAAAAUCAAAGAUUUAUCGCUGAAGGAUGGGCUCAUGUCUGAUUAGCUAGUUGGCGGGGUAACGGCCCACCAAGGCUGCGAUCAGUAGCCGGUCUGAGAGGAUGAACGGCCACAUUGGGACUGAGAUACGGCCCAG
rnacentral:rRNA from 1 species